UGAGAAAAGUGUAGAAAGUUACAGCAGCCUCCUCUUCUUCUUCUUCUUCUUCUUCACUCCUCCGAGCGUCUCCGAGCUGCCUGCUUUUAAAAAACAUUAUUCCUCGCUGGCAAGCGCGAGUGGACGUGGAGCCUGAUUGGUCGGUUACCUGAGCCCGGGGGCCGGCGUGGAAUUAUUCUCCAUGGCGACGCUGUCACUCAGAGAAACCUGACACGCGCGGAGGUGUCUGCCGUGGACCCGAGCAUUGUUCCCGUGGCAAGCCACGCCCACCGGGGGAAAUAUUACUCACUCAAGAAGGGAGAAAACAACAUUUCUUUUUUUUUUCCUAUUCUUAUUUUGAUGGACACCUGGAGGCGAGGCUGUCAAGGUGGAAUUAAGGGAGAGUCCUUGAAUGGCGUCAACCUAAUGAUGUCCAUCAUUAUCACAACUUGGCUUGGACAUGGAUUGUUUCCUCGAUGCAGAUGAGGAUCAGCACGAGCGAGGCGUGGACGCCGGCAGAGAAGGCCUUGCUGGCCCUGACGGCACACCACUGAUUGAUGGCAUGUCUGCAAGUCAAAAAAGGACAAAACUUCUUGUCUGAGGGGUGGCCUCAGCCAAGGACUUCAAGGACCUCAACGAAGAUAAGAUGACAACACGCAGACGAAGCGGAGACAAGGCAAAAUAACAAGGCCCCCUACCCAUUCCAUCACGUACUGUGCGUCCUGGACCUGCGUUGCACAAUAUAUGUGACCACUCCUUUUAGAGGCGGCCUCAGUGAUGUUGACUAUCAAACUCUGAAUAAAAAGAGGGACGCGGGAGCUGAACCUUAGAGCGUAGGGCGAGACUGUGACUAAGUGUUCAGCGCCAUGCUUU